UGCAUCGGCCGGGAAUCGAACCCGGGCCGCCCGCGUGGCGCAUUCUACCACUGAACCACCGAUGC